UGAGGAGACAUCUUGUCUAAAGAUGUGAGAUCAGCAAUGGAAGUGUGAAGAGUAUUUGGUUGUUCCUGUUCUGGCUGCCCCUGUACCUGAUGGAGAGCUUGCUUUGCAGAGACAUUCAGAGAUAGAGAGUGCCUUCACAGCCUGUCGCCCUUGGAAUUUAGUGUCCAAAACAAGAGACAAGAAAGGUAAACCGUGAUACAAGGAAAAACAAGGGCUCCCUAUCCCUGGGAGAUACUGAGCACCUUCUGAGAGAGGCUGAGCUGGCUUGAAUGGGGUAAGAGGGUGUUCAGCGCACCACAGGAGUUGCUCAGCACUGCAAAUCAGCUUCAGAACAGAAAACGGAUGCCUUACUGUGAAUCACAUUGGCCAAAUCAGGAUGGCAUGAAAUAGUGGUACUUAAGGGAUACUUACAUGGAACUUGAAGGGGGAGUAGAUAAUGCCAGUAACAGAGAAGAAAAUCUAAUCAAGUACAGGAGUUUUAUAUUCAUGUAACAAGAUAAUAUCGAAAACUGUCACAAUAUUUGGUUAGAGCAAGAACCAUGGUCCAUUAGCAGCAGGAAAAAGC